rnacentral:rRNA from 1 species
GACGAACGCUGGCGGCGUGCUUAACACAUGCAAGUCGAACGGACAGGCCCUGCUUUUGCGGGGUGCUCGAGUGGCGAACGGGUGAGUAACACGUGAGUAACCUGCCCUUGACUUUGGGAUAACUUCAGGAAACUGGGGCUAAUACCGGAUAGGAGCUCCUGCUGCAUGGUGGGGGUUGGAAAGUUUCGGCGGUGGUGGCUGGACUCGCGGCUUAUCAGCUUGUUGGUGGGGUAGUGGCUUACCAAGGCUUUGACGGGUAGCCGGCCUGAGAGGGUGACCGGCCACAUUGGGACUGCGGUACGGCCCAGAAUCCAACGGGAGGCAGCAGUGGGGAAUAUUACACAAUGGGCGGAAGCCUGAUGCAGCAACGCCGCGUGCGGGAUGACGGCCUUCGGGUUGUAAACCGCUUUCGCCUGUGACGAAGCGUGAGUGACGGUAAUGGGUAAAGAAGCACCGGCUAACUACGUG